rnacentral:lncRNA from 1 species
GUACGACAUUUGGAGGCCCCAGCGAGAAACGCCACCGGGCGAGAGCCGGGCCCGCUGUGUGCUCCCCCGGAAGGACAGCCAGCUUGUAGGGGGGAGCGCCACCUGAAAAAAAAUUUCCAGGUCCCCAAAGGGUGACCGUCUUCCGGAGGACAGCGGAUCGACUACCAUGUGGGUGCCCACAAAAAUUCCACCUCUGAGUCCUCAACUGCUGACCCCGGGGUCAGUAGACAUGGGGUUUCACCAUGUUGCCCAGUCCAGUCUCAAACUUCUGGCUCAAGCAGUCCUCCCGCCGCCCCUGGAUCCUCCUGGAAUCCCCGAUCCCUGUUGCUCCCUGGCGGAGUUUUCUAGUCCCUCUUACUUGAAGCAUGUCUUUCAGAGCCCGGCACCACCCAUCUUGAGUAUCUGCUACACCUCUAUGGUAUUUUUUCACCUCAUAUCUUACCUUCCUCCCUCACUGGACUUCAGUGUGGGACAUGCAGGUCUCAGGCCUUCUGGGAAGUCCCAGCUUUUCUUGAAUGUUUUCUCUCUCUGGCCAGCUCAGGCUGGAGCAGUGGGUGUUGGUGCCAUCCUGUG